rnacentral:rRNA from 1 species
AGUGAACGCUGGCGGUAGUCCUAACACAUGCAAGUCGAACGGCAGCACAGUAAGAGCUUGCUCUUACGGGUGGCGAGUGGCGGACGGGUGAGGAAUACAUCGGAAUCUACUUUUUCGUGGGGGAUAACGUAGGGAAACUUACUCUAAUACCGCAUACGACCUACGGGUGAAAGCAGGGGAUCUUCGGACCUUGCGCGAUUGAAUGAGCCGAUGUCGGAUUAGCUAGUUGGCGGGGUAAAGGCCCACCAAGGCGACGAUCCGUAGCUGGUCUGAGAGGCUGAUCAGCCACACUGGAACUGAGACACGGUCCAGACUCCUACGGGAGGCCGCAGUGGGGAAUAUUGGACAAUGGGCGCAAGCCUGAUCCAGCCAUACCGCGUGGGUGAAGAAGGCCUUCGGGUUGUAAAGCCCUUUUGUUGGGAAAGAAAAGCAGCAGGUUAAUACCCCGCUGUUCUGACGGUACCCAAAGAAUAAGCACCGGCUAACUUCGUG